AGUUUGAUCCUGGCUCAGAUUGAACGCUGGCGGCAUGCUUUACACAUGCAAGUCGAACGGUAACAGGGUGCUUGCACCGCUGACGAGUGGCGAACGGGUGAGUAAUGCAUCGGAAUGUACCGUGUAAUGGGGGAUAGCUCGGCGAAAGCCGGAUUAAUACCGCAUACGCCCUGAGGGGGAAAGUGGGGGACCGUAAGGCCUCACGUUAUACGAGCAGCCGAUGUCUGAUUAGCUAGUUGGUGGGGUAAAGGCUCACCAAGGCUUCGAUCAGUAGCGGGUCUGAGAGGAUGAUCCGCCACACUGGGACUGAGACACGGCCCAGACUCCUACGGGAGGCAGCAGUGGGGAAUUUUGGACAAUGGGCGCAAGCCUGAUCCAGCCAUGCCGCGUGUCUGAAGAAGGCCUUCGGGUUGUAAAGGACUUUUGUCCGGGAGCAAAUCCCAGUGGUUAAUACCUACUGGGGCUGAGAGUACCGGAAGAAUAAGCACCGGCUAACUACGUGCCAG
rnacentral:rRNA from 1 species